rnacentral:lncRNA from 1 species
UAAUAUAAGUCAAUUUCCUCGAUUUGGGAUUUAAAUUAAACCGGUGACUUGGGACACCAUAAAUUAUUCCAAGUGGCAACUCUGAAUUUAAUAAAUAAUCUCAUUUCGAUUAAUAUCACUUAAAUUGGAAAAACUCCCUUAUCCCCCCGCUCCCUUCGAGAAAAAGGAGGUGUGGCAUUAGGCCCUCGNNNNNNNNNNNNNNNNNNNNNNNNNNNNNNNNNNNNNNNNNNNNNNNNNNNNNNNNNNNNNNNNNNNNNNNNNNNNNNNNNNNNNNAAAUAGAACUGUGAAUGAGUGUAAAACAGCAAUUUAGCAAAUAAUUUCACAAGUACACGACCUCUGUGGAUCCCAACAGUGUAAACAUAUGAUUUAAACAUGAUUCAUAGAUCAAUUUCUCUAAUACGGAAAAAAAUGUACAGAUUUUUCAACUACACAGUUCCAUGGAAUGUACCAAGUCAUAAUUCCUAUGGUGUACGGCCACACGCCUGUCACCUAGCAUGUGCGUCACCUCAGAACCAAUCACAUAAUACAUAUUACAGGGUUUCAUACCCUAAGGACCAAAUUUAAAACUAUUACUUACCUCAAGCCGUGUAAUUCUUUAUUCUACAAUGCCUUUUCCUCGUGAAUUGGCCUCCAAAUGCCUCAAAUCUAGCCACAAAUAAUUCGAUUAAGUCAAUAAAAUUUAUUGAAACUAAUUCCAUAAGGAAAUACUAAUUCUCCAAUAAAAAUCCGAAAUUAACUCAAAAAUCGCAUGUGGGGCCCACGUCUCGGAACUCGACAAAAGUUAUAAAAUAUGAACACCCAUUCAACCACGAUUCCAACCAUAUAAAGUUUACUUAAAUCCGACAUCAACUCGACCCUCAUGGGGUUUUCACAAUUUUCCAACUAAAUUCACCAAUUAAAUGUUAAAAACAACCAUGGAUUCGGGUAAUUUGACCAAUAUUGAGUUAAGAACACUUACCCCAUUGUUUUACUUGAAAAUCUCCCAAAGGUUGUUUCUUCUCGAGCUCCAAAUCGGUAAAAAUCCCAUUUUCAGAACUUAAACUCUCUGCCCAGUCAUUUGCUCUACGCGAUCGCGGACAAUCACACGCGAUCGCGAAGCACAAAUUUUUACUGCCCAGAUUUAACCCUACGUGAUCGCGAACUUUUCCACGUGAUCGCGAAGCUCACUCUCACAGGCCUACAUGAUCGCAGACUUGUCCAUGCGAUCGCGAAUCACAAACACGUGACCUCCACUUCUGCUCCAUUUCCUCUACGCGAACGCGGCCUUAGCCAUGCUUUUGCGAAUCACAAAAUCCCAUAGCUACGCAAUCGCGGCCCUCUUCACGUGAUCGCGAAGAACAAAAUCAUCACUGCCUCAAACAAGCCUACGCGAUCGCAAACCAUCUCACGCGAUCGCAUAGAAAAAAGUCACCUCUGGCCCAAAUUAGCUUACGCGAUCGCGGAUGAACUUAUGUGAUCGCGUAUAAGGAAACCAGAAGCAAAAUACCAACAGCUAUUAACUAUCUCCCGAAGGUCAAAAAUGAUCCGUUAGUCGUCCGAAACUCACCCGAGUCCCUUGGGACCUCAACCAAAUACACAAACACGUCCUAAAACAUCAUACGAACUUAGUUGAAGCCUCAAAUCACAUCAAAUAACGCUAAAACCACGAAUCAUGCCCCAAUUCGAGCUUAAUGAAAUUUGAAAUUUCAAGUUUCCACAAAUGAUGCCGGAACCUAUCAAAUCAGGUCCGAUUGACCUUAAAUUUUUCACACAAGUCAUAAAUGACAUAAGGGACCUAUUAAAAUUUUUCAUAAUCAGACUUUGACCCUGAUAUCAAAAAGUCAACCCCCUCGGUCAAACUUUCCAAAAAUUCGACUUUCGCCAUUUCAAGUCUAAUUCCACUACGGACCUCCAAAUAAAUUUUCGGACACGCUCCUAAGUCAAAAAUCACCAUACAGAGCUAUUGGAAUCGUCAAAAUUAAAUUCCGAGGUCGUUUACACAUAAGUCAAUAUCCGGCCAACUUUUCCAACUUAAGUUUUCAAUUAAGAGAUUAAGUGUCUCAUUUCACUCCGAAAUCCAUCCGGACCCGAACCAACUAACCUGGUAAGUCAUAAAACAAAUAUAAAGCAUAAAAUGAGCAGUAAAUGGAGGAACAAAAUUAUAAUACUCAAAACGACCGGCCGGAUCGUUACAAGUAUAUAUUCAUAUGUUUUUUAAUUAAUAUUAAUUAUGUAUUCAGAUGUAUUUUUAAUUUAUAGAAGUUAAGUUAUUCCCUGCUAUGUUCAGCAUAAUUCAAUGGUUUUUAAUCCCUGCAAUAAUCCUGCAAUAAUCCCACAUAAUUGUAUUAUGUUAUCAGAAAUGUUUUUUUGGAAAUUGAAUUACAUAUGUAUUCAUUUUUUAUUUUAUUGAAUGUACACUCAUGUAUUUCAAGUAUACAUGCCCUGCUAUACCUCAUACCUGUAUACAAAUCAUUUUGUAAAGUACCACGAAAAAUAAUAGCGUUCAAUUUAGUAAUCUAAACUUAAAAAAUCCAUCCCGUAAGAAUCCAAUACACCAAUAAAUCAAUAUGUAAUAUAAAACUUGAACAAAUCUAUGACAUAUCGUUAUUGCAGUAAUUAAAAUCAGAACAUGAACUAAUUCCUUCGUGAAGCAUUUCUACAAUUACGCUUAUUAUGUCCUGCUUGCCCACAUAUACUACACGAAUGUUGAUAUUUCUUCUGAAACAAUUCACUUAACGGUUUAUUGCGCUUCUUCUUUGGCCUUCCAUGAGAUAUUUUCCAUUUGGGUGGUAAGACAAUUUCCUCUGAUAUAUGUGCUGGUAUAUUCCAUUCACUUCGGUCAGGCAGUGGAUACACGGGCACCUCGUAUGUUAUUACAACAGACUUUGGUUUGUAAUAGUCCGAGCAAUAAUCUUUCGGCAUUAGAAACUUGCUUUUCAAGACAGCCCAAGGAUGUGGGCAUGGUAAUUCGUCAACUUGGAACCGCCCACAACUGUAAUUUUUCUCUAGGAGUCAAACGGUGUAAUGUCUUCCUUCAUCAUUCACCAUGUGCAAGUGUUCAGUCGAUGGUACAACCUAUAUUAAAUGGAGAAAUAUAAGUUAUGGUCAUUUGUACAAGUCAUGUAUCUGUCAAAGACCAAACGUAUUAAAUACAGUAUACAUGUAUACAAUUCUGAAACAUUUAAAAUACACUGAAUGUUAACAAUGUUUAUCUGACAGAAUAUUAAAUUGAAUACAUUUAUUUGUGAAAUACAAUGACAUACAAUAUUCAUGUAUACAAUGAAAAAAAAAAUUAAAAUACACUGAAUACAAACACUAUUUUAUCUGACAAAAUAUUAAAAGUGAAUACAUUUAUUUGUGAAAUACAGUAAAAUACUGUCAAUACAAAAACAAAACCAUUGAAUACAUCCAAUGAAAUACAUAUGUAGUAAUAUUUAUUAUCAACAUAUAAUAUGCAGUAAUUACAACCGUUUCAGAUUUUGUAACAGAAUACAUGCACCAGUGUUAUUAUAAAAAGCGCAUGCAGUAUGUUAAUAAUAGAAAUUGUAUCAGGCAUAAAUACAUGAUGCAAGUACGUAUAGAAAAAAAAAACUUACAGUCAUACGUGUAGACAAUGCCUCAUUCAAUGUAAGGAUCUCUUGGUAUUGUUUCCCAAGCGUUGUGUAUGUGUAUGAAGCUUCUUUCUGAUUGCUGCAAUUCCAACAUCCAAACAUCUUCAUAACUUCUUCUAGGAAGUUGUAUAUUGGCAAUUCUCUUGUUGAUACAAGUGCAACAUUGAUUGACUCAGCAAUAUUUGACGUCAUAGUCCAUCCAUGGUUAACAGGUGCAUACAACCUAGCCCACUUUUCGUAUCCAGCUAAUUCCAAGUAUUCUUUCACCCGAAUAUCUACCUUCUCCACCUUUUCCAUUAGACUAUCAAAUUCAUCCUGAGUAUAUGCUUUUGCCAUCGAAAAGUAUACCUCGCUCAACUUUGCAUGACUUUUUUUUAAUUUCUUAUAUAUGUUGUUCCAUAGAUGCCAUAUACAAGCAAAAUGGGGUACCGUAGGAUACACUCUCGAUAUAGAUUUGAUGAUGCUCUCAUUCCUAUUUGAAACGAUGCACAUGUUUUCCCGCUCACCAUAAGCUACCUUGAAUUGCUCAAAGAACUACAACCAAGCUGCAUCAUUCUCUGAAUCAACAACACCAUAUGCUAGUGGCAAUAUAUGUCUUGUAAAUACAAUUGCAUACAGAUAAAAAAAAAUAUCAUCCAAGUUGUACUAAGAAGUCAAAAUACCAUAUUUUAUGUUAAUCUGUAUGUAUUUUGUUUUUUAACUGACUCGCCUGCACCAUCCAAUGUGCUAGCCGAGACGAAUGUCCCCGUGUAUGCCGAUUUUAGGUGGCUGCCAUCCAAAACCACGAUGGGUCUACAGUAAACGAACCCCUUUAUAAAAGCAUACAAUGAUAUAUAUAAAUACAUGAACUCAUUUUUCUGUGAUUUUUUCAUUCUUAUAUGUGAACGAGGAUAUGUCAUAUCCAAUGUACAUAAGUACCCUGUUAAUUUAUUGUAUGAAUCAGUUGGUUCACCUCUAAAAAAAUUCACUGCUUUUUCUUUAGCGCUCCACGCCAACAUGUAACUAACAUCUACACCAAAGUCUCAUUUCACAUCAUCAAUUAUAUCUUUUGACGUGUAUUUCCUCUUAUGAUUAGUAAACUUGGACCUAAUCAUACCCCCAAUCAACCUACUGGUUACUUGACGUUGCUCAUACACCUUAUCCUUCAACGAACAUGUAUGCUUAUCAUUGAACUCCCUCACUUUGAACAUUUGUGAUUUGUUAAUACUAGAAGCCUUAAAUCUCCAUUCACAAUCCUCAGAAAUACAUAACAAUGUAUAGCUGCAAAUACAUUUGUGUUAUACAUAUGAUUGGUUAUGUGUGGAUAAAAUAUAAACAGAUCCUACAGCUGAUUCGGUUACAUACACACAACAUUUUCAUUUGCCAACAAAGUUUUGAAUAUAUAAACAUACAAUGAAAUACAAUGUGUGUUUAUUGAAUAUACUAUAGAUUUUGUUUUAAUACAUUGCAUAAAAAAAUGUAUAAACAUACAUUAAUAUAAAUAGUUAAGUUCUCAUAUAACUAUUUCAGAACAUUCAAUUAUAAAAAUACUAUUUAUAACGACCCAGCCGGUCAUUUUGAUCUCUAGCACAUAAUUCAGUGAUUUGAGGCCCUGAACAGCUUCACUGCAGGUAUAAUGACUUGUACGUACGGUCGGAAUUUAAUUUUGGGAAGUUCGUAGUUAGUUUGGGAAGAAAAUUCUAAAUUCAGAAGCUUUAAGUUUAAAGAAUUGAGUAAAGUGUGAUUUUGAGUAAACGACCUCGGAAUUGGGAUUUGAAGGUUCCAACAGAUUCGUAUGAUAAUUUUGUACUUGGGCGUAUAUCCGAACUGGGUUUUGGAUAGCCCGGGAGAGUUUCAGCGCCUAUUGUGGAAGGUUGGCAUUUUGAAAGAAUUUCAUAAAGUUGGGUUGAAGUGUAUUUCAAUGUUAUCGAUGUCUGUUUGGGAUUUCUAGUUUGGGAAUAGUUCCGUAUGGUGAUUCUGGUAUUGGGAACGCGUCCGGAAGUGGAUUCGGAGGUCUGUAGGUCAUUUUGGGGUUAUUUGGCGGAAGUUAGAAAUUUGAAGGUUUUUGAGAAGUUUGACCGGGAGUGGACUUUUUGCUAUCAGGGUUGGAUUCUGAUUCCGGAAGUUGUAAUAGGUCUGUAAUGUCGAAUGUGACUUGUGUGCAAAAUUUGAGGUCAAUCGGACGUGAUUUGAUAGGUUUCGGUAUUGAAUGUAGAAGCUUGAAGUUCUAAAGUUCAUUAAGCUUUAAUUGGGUUGCGAUUCAUGAUUUCAAAGUUGUUUAAUGUGAUUUGAGGCCUCGAGCAGGUCCGUGUUAUGUUAUAGGACUGGUUUGUGUGAUUAGACGAGGUCCCGGGGGCCUCGGGUGUGUUUCAGACCAAAUUGGAGCUGUUAUAGACUGUUGUUACUGGUGUCUGGUUUCCUUUUUCGCAAACGCGAAGGAAGUCCCGCGUUCGCGAAGAGGAAUUUAUGGGGCUGCUGGGUUUGGCCUUCACAAAUGCGAGCCAGUGGAUGCGAACGUGAGGCAAGAGCUGGACAAGUCUUCGCGAACGCGACCAAGGCGACGCGAACGCGAAGAGGAAAUGAGGGAGCUGGGCCUAAGGCCAUUUGGCCUACGCGAACGCGUAGAGGGGUACGCAAACGCGAAGGGGCGGGUCAGUUGGCCUUCGCGAACGCGAUCAAAGGGUCGCGAACGCGAAGAGAGAUUUCUGGGCAGUGAGUUGUUUUUAAAACGGGAUUUUGGCCAUUUUCACUUCAUUUCCUCCAUGGGAGCCGGUCUUGGAGCGAUUUUGGAGCUCCAUCUUCAUCAUAUAUGUCAAGGUAAGUGAUUCCCACCUAUUGCAAGUUAAAUACUUGGAUUAUAUAUGUAUUUAGACUUAAACAUUUGUGAAAAUUUGGAAUUUUGAAGAAAAACCUAGAAAUUGGUAUUUUUGGAUUUUGACCACGAAAUUGGAUAUGGAAUUUGGAAUAAAUUAUAUAUUUGAGUUUGUGGUGUCAUGAGUAAAGUUUAUCUUCGAAAAUUUUUGGAAUUCGGGCACGUGGGCCAGAGGGUGAUUUUUAUCAAAUUUUCGAGCGGAGUUGGGAAUUUAUUUAAAUCGAAUUGUUGUGAGUAUUAGAGUUUAUUUUUAUGGAUUUCCACAUUUAUUGACUAGUUUUGGAGCGUUGGGCAUCGGUUUGAGUUGUUGGAAAAGCCUGGGAGUUGGCUAUGGAACUUCAGAGCGAGGUAAGUCUCCUUUCUAACCUUGUAAGAGGGAAUUAACCCCAUAGGUGAAAUGAUUCAAUAUGUGUUUCUAUUUGUGGGGGCUACGUACGCACGAGGUGAUGGGAGUCCGUGCGUAGUUACUAAUAUGUUUAUGUCCGGGUAGUCUAGGACCCAGAUCAUGCUAUACAUGGUAAAUCAAUUUUUAAAAAAGGUUAAUGUCACGACCCAAAAUCCAACUACCCAUGAUGGCACCUAGCCUCACCCGCUAGGUAAGCCAAAUAACAAUAAUCUGAUUCAAUUAAUAUUUAACUGACUCUAAUACGCUCCCCAAGGAUUAGUAGUACAAAUCAUGAGCUUCUAAGAUUUGAAUUUACAAAGCUGUUGUGAAAUAAAAUACAUCAUCUGUUUGAAAUAUACAUGAACAGAUUAAUAAUUCAAAAGAUACCAAGAACAAGAGGCAGUUGUGACUGGAUCGCAGGUACAUCUUCAAUGCUAGCUCCCGUCAUGCACAACAACAUUAGCAUCCAAAAUCUGCACGCAAGGUGCAGAAGCGUAGUAUGAGUACAACCGACCCCAUGUACUCAAUAAGUAAUAAACCUAACCUUAGGUUGAAAGUAGUGACGAGCUUGUACCAAGGUCAGAGUCCACACCCAUAUCCAGUAACAUCUCAUAACAAUAAAAUUGAUGCAACACAAAGAAUAACUCAAUAAUAAAAUGCUCAGCUCGUUCACAGUUCUGGAAAAAUAAACAUUUUCUUUUCAAGUAUAAUAGUAAAACUCAAUUCUUUUCACUGAAAUCGCCAAAAAUAUGAGUAAGUCUGAAAACUGUGAUUUUUCCCAAAAACAACUUUCUUCCACAAUAGGGAAAUUUCAUUUUCAAAUGGCAUGAGGAAAGUACAUCUCCAUGUCUACAUGUCAAUGUGCAUACCAAUGCGAUACAACACAGUGAUAAAAUCAUAUGCAUACUCUCAGAGUAUCAAUUCACUCAGUCCUCCCAAUUAAUCAAUCCUCUCAGUCACUCAGCUCUCCCAAUCACUCACUCCUCACAGUCACUCAUGCCUCACAGUAACUCAAUCCUCCCAAAUCACUCGGCACUCGCACUCAAUAGGUACCUACGCUUACUAGGGGUGUGUACAGACUCCGGAGGGGAUCCUUCAGCCCAAGCGCUAUAACAAGCCAAUCAUGGCAUAAAUUAAUGAAACAUGUUACGGCGCGCAGCCCGAUCCCAUAAAUAUCCUCACCAUCAGGCCCUCGGCCUCACUCAGU